UAAUUUUUGUUCCCCUAGACGUAUAGAUGGUUUAUAACAAAAUUGGUUGAGUGGUUGCAGAGUAGAAGCUGAAAAUGUUUAAGUAUUAACGCACGACGGACGACGACAGACAAAAACAGAUAACAAUAGGUCACUUGAAAGAUGUGGCGCCAACAGUUUAAACAUGGGAUGGGAAGGAGACAGAGAUCUAUUGGCUGCUAUACACACGCCUUCCAUUGCUAGAUGUGUGAAACCUAAAUAAAGAUGAGCUAUUCCUUGGUGAUAAUUUGAGUCCCCUACGUUGUACCACAUUUUGGCCAUCAACCAUGUAUAAGGUGGAUCACUGGGCAGAAACACCUGAAAUAUA